UCGUAAAUGAAGUUCAUUUUCUUCUCAUCAUUAGAGGACAGUGUCCAGCGAUUGCAGAAUUGAAGAAUCAUCAGUAUGAUUCAGAAUCUCCAUUCAAUGACUAAUUCAGUUAAGACAACCUUAGUUUAGCAGGCAGAUACAAGGAACUGCAGGUGCCGAUUACAAGAAAAGGCAUAACGCACUAAAGUAAGUCAGUGGGUCAGCCAGCAUCUUCAGGGAACACGGACAGGCAAUGCUUCACGUCAGGACCCUUCUUCAGACAGUGGGGUGGGGGGGGGGGGAAGAAAGCUAGAAGGUGGGGGAAGUCUGGCAAGUUAUAGGCACAUAUAGGUGAGGAUGAGGAAGUAGGAAGCUUGAUUGGCAAAUUGAUUGGACAAAGACCAGAGGCGAGGAAAAAAAAGUGCAGACAGAAAACGAGGAAGA